rnacentral:lncRNA from 1 species
CGGUGGGGGCGGGGGGGGGUCGUUACAAUCAGGACGCCCAUCUGGCCGGGCUUUGCUCUGGUGCCAGAAGCCAAGAGGCAGAAGUCAAGGUUAAACGCUGCGGCGGGGCUACGGCCCCCUUCGCCGGGCCCGACUCCCUGCAGGAGCCCCGCGCCGGCCUCGCCGCCCCACCUUGCCCUUUGUCUUUGCCGGAGCAGAUGUGCGGUGACCCCUGCUAGCAUCCGUGCUGUCAGGAUUAAAGAAGCCUCCACCCCAUUUAGCAACUGCAACUCUCGUCCCCCGACCCUCGCCAACCCACCGCUUGGGGAUGGGGGAGGUUGUUUGUUUGUUUUUGUUUUUUCUUUUUCUUUCUUUCUUUUUUUUUUUUUUUUGAGUUUUGGCAAUAAGUCAAAAGCAGUCAUCAUAAGGUGCACAAAGCCCUCGGUUCACAUUUAAAUUUGUGUGCCAAGUUGGCUG